AAAACAUACAAAAAUCAAUAAUCCUAACGUAUCUCUAAACUACUUUUUUCUUUGAUUCUUAUUUUAAUUUUGUUAGAGAUAUCCUAAUUGAGAUGGAGAAAGUUUACGUUCAAGUCCUUGACAUCACCAUGGUGAGCCUUUAUUUGCUCUCACCAUCAUAACAACAUGAAGUGUUUUAACCAGUAUAAAACAAAGUAGGCUAAAUAGGGUAUAUAUCUGUAGGAAAAAAAGUUCCAAAAUCAAGUUGGCUCUUAAUAGUAUAAGGUAUGAAUAUUUACUUUCUAAUCCUGAACUCCACUUCCCUGAAUGUCAAGAUGUCAAGAAAAUAUCCUGCAAAUAAUAAGAAAUGUCAUAUAAAAGCUACAAAAAAGUCAUAAUAAUAUUAAAAAAAUAGAAAAAUUGUUUACCAAUACAACUGCAAGAAUCAUAAUUUUCUUAAUAAUAUCCAUUUUACACAUGCAUAAAGAUUGACUAAUAUGACCACAAUUCCAGUCGGAAAGAAGAAACAAUGACUAAAAACAUAUCAUUAUAAUGUGAUUAUAAGAAGCAUUGGCCAAACCCUGCUGGCAUAAAAAACAACCAAAGCAUUUACUUCUGUUUUUAAGUGCACAAAUUUAGACAUAAAAACAUUUAACAGCUUAAACAACUUUACUGAAACAACUUUACACCAUCCAUCAAGAUAUAUGAAUGUCAAUAAAAAAAACCUCACUUUAACAAUUAGUCAUAUCAAAUUACAGGACGUGGAAAUAGAUAGGAUAAAAGGACAAUCCACAAAGAUCUAUUGAGAAAUAAAUACAUAAGAAAAAUGAAAAUAUAAGCUACAAAUUGAUUAACAAAUGAAAAAAAAAAAAAAAAACUACUUUUGGUGCAGAUUACGUUUAACAAAAUUGCAAUAUAUGCACAAGAUUUACAAAAAAUAUUUGAUUAGGGCCCAUAAGAACCAUAAAUGGCUCAAAAUGACCUCACGACAACAACUAAGUUAAAUGUGUGUGGGAAUAACCUGAGACACACAUCCUGGCCAUCAAAUUUUUUGAAGUAAAAAACCAAUUUGUGAAGAGUAAAUAAUACCAAGUUAUGCUUCAACCUGAUAAAUCAACAUCUGGUACUAAUUUUGGGAAAAUUUCAACUGAAACAUACCAAUUUUCGUUGCUCAUGUUAUACAUGUUGCAUAAUAUGCUCUAAAGAUCAAUAAAAGUAGGAAACCAAAGGCAUUUGGUGAUAAAGAAAGUAUACAAGAUCGUCAUUUGUUUUUUCUUGUUCAUCGACUGCAUCAUCAACAAUGAAGUCAACCAUUUCAUCUUCUUCCUCUUCAAGAUGAUCCUCUUCUACAAUGUCCUCAAUGUGUAGACCUAAGGAUCAUGAGCAAGUUACAGUUACCACACAAGAAAUGUUCCAGGUAAUGAUUAUGAAAAUCUGUUCGGAAAAUGAAAAAAAUACCCUAAUCAAUCCCAAAUGAAAGAUGUCUGAGUUUCUUCUAUGCACUUCACUCAACCUUUACACAUCUAUUAUAUUCCUCCACAUCAUAAAAUCCCGAUUUCUCUUCGUCAAAAUGAACCCAUACUUUGUUUAGACUCUUAAACUUCUUACUCUCCUAAAAAAUUCACAUGGAAAUUUUUUUUAUAAAUAGAGAGAAAGAAAAACAACUCUUAAAGGAACGGCAUGAAUUAUGAAGUGAAGA
rnacentral:lncRNA from 1 species